ensembl:lncRNA
AAGCGGGGCUCUUUAAUUGUUCUUGUUGCAGAACAAUUCUCAGCAUCUCAGAUCUAAUCUCAGCUGUCUGCUAAACCAUACCAGCAUUCUGCACGUGGGAGAUGCUCCGCUCCGCUGCGAGUGCCACCAGCCAGGUGGGCACGGCUGACACCUGCACGGAUAUUUCCCUGCUGUCGCACACAUUCCCUCUAAGAGCUCUUUUUAAAGACCUGAAACCGUUCUGGCAUCCUCUUACCAUGCUGCACACGUCCUGCAGGGACCCUCCGACAAAUCCCGCUGAUUUUAUUUGACACCGCUCUCAAUCGAAGCAGCUCCAGCCUCUAUCUUUCUCCUCUGCUCAAUAAUCGCAGCUGCAGGAGCGGUGCAUCAUUACGUGCUGAUCAAAGGGAAAUGCAGAAGGCAGACUGGUGAAUUAAAGUCUGAUUUAAUUGUGCCAAGAACUGUCAUAGAGGGAUUGUUAAAACGUAUCUGGAGCAGGUAAAGAAGUUGUUCCGAGUGACCUAAAUAACAUUAUUUCUCAGUGCUGAUGUGCUGCAAUAUGCAGAUCCAAUGCUGUCUUUCAUUGAGGAGAUGCUGCUGGGACAAAGGUGGGUGUUGGAGGAAUGGAGACCACAGCACUGCUUCACUGACACCUUUCUUCCUCCUCAGCAAGCACAGUGUGGCAGCCUCAGGAGUGGCACAGGGAGGUCCCACUGGGUGACCAAGGGGACGUGGGCAGCUCUGACACGGCAGAAUGGGCGUAUAAAGGAUGAGUGGAACAAAGUGGGAAAAACAAACAGCCCGGCCACGGGGAAGUGAAGCUGGUUUUGGCUGCGCUUUGAGCUUUAAUAACGCAAGGUGCUCUCCACGAGGUGCAGAAGGACACGGCUUUGACACGUACCAUUUUUUAUCUGGCUGUGCCCCUUUAACUGCUCUCAUUUCAGGGCCGUUCCGGAGCAGGUUGAAGCGAUCCAUCUCCUCUCUCCAAGGUCCUCCGCCUCUUCUCCUGCUCACUUCACAGCGCCGUUCCUCUCCCUGCAGCCUCCCUGUGUGGAUGCUCUGUGCCAGGCAUGGGGAUGAUCCUUGGUGUGAGCUGUCCCUGCUUCGGGAACCAUCUGACAGCAGUGGGAUGGGGGCAUGGCAGUCCCGGGUGCUGGGGGUGUGGAGCAAUGGGCACACAGGGCCAUGUGUCGGUGACACGGUCUCUUGGCAGGUGCUGGGACGGAGAUGUGGACGUUCUGGUGUCUCACCCUUCUUGGAGUCCUCCUACCCCCCUGCUGGGGGCUUCUCAGCUUGGGGAGCAUCCUGGGCUCCAGCCCUGCGCAGCCCUCGAAUGCAGUGAAAGUCUGCUUGGUAAUUGGGAUUGCUUGCUGCAGGAGGUCUGCUGGGCACCGGCCUCCUCGGGGAAGGUGGACUGCUGGGCACUGGGCUCCUGGGCAGGAAGAACCCAAGCAGAGAUGGCAGCGAAGGCACUGGAGGUGAACCCCAGGGCGCGGGGCUCCUUGGCACAGGGCUGCUGGGUGAGGUGGAUCUGCAGUGUGCACACACUUGGGGGAAGAGGGCUCCUGGCAGCCAAUCUGGCACAGUGACACAGUCUGACUAUUGCAGGAGGACAGCCUGGUGGCAGCGGUCUGCUCGGCACGGGGCUCCUCGGUGGGGAAGGACUCCUUGGCAGUGGUGUCCUUGGAGAGAAGGGUCUGCUCGGCACAGGGCUGCUCGGCCAAGGAGGCAAUGGAAGUCUGCUUGGGCUAGAUGGGCUCCUGGGGCAAGAAGGACUGCUGGGACAAGGAGGUCUUGGAGAACUGCUGGGACAAGGAGGGAGCAGUGCUGCUGUCCCUCAACCAUCGCAGCGCUUUGCCUGGUGAGUGGGAGCAGAUGCACAGCAGCGGUGUUCACUGCAGAGCUUUGCUCCAUACACCGACUUCCCUGACCUGGUG